AGUAGUUUGAUCAGUGGCUCAGGACGAACGCUGGCGGCGUGCUUAACACAUGCAAGUCGAACGGGGAUUAUUGGAAUGAGAGCUUCGGCAGGAUUUCUGGUAAUUCCAGUGGCGGACGGGUGAGUAACGCGUGAGCAACCUGUCCCAGACAGGGGGAUAACACUUGGAAACAGGUGCUAAUACCGCAUGAGACCACAGCAUCACAUGGUGCAGGGGUAAAAGGUGCAAACCGGUUUGGGGUGGGCUCGCGUCCGAUUAGAUAGUUGGUGAGGUAACGGCCCACCAAGUCGACGAUCGGUAGCCGACCUGAGAGGGUGAUCGGCCACAUUGGAACUGAGAGACGGUCCAAACUCC
rnacentral:rRNA from 1 species